rnacentral:rRNA from 1 species
GUCUUAUUGAGAAUAAUUUUAAGUCAAUCUGCCCAAUGAAAUACUUAAAUGGCUGCAGUAUAAUUGACUGUACAAAGGUAGCAUAAUCAAUUGAUUUUUAAAUGAAAUCUGGAAUGAAAGGAUUAAUGAAAUAUAUACUGUCUCAUAUUUAUUAUAUAAAUUUAAAUUUUUAAUAAAAAUGUUAAAAAAAAUUUAUGGGACGAUAAGACCCUAUAGAAUUUUAUAUUUUAUUAUUUUAUUUUAUGAAAAAUUUAAAUUUAAUAAAAUAUUUAGUUGGGAGAAUUAUUAAAUUUGAAAAAUUUUAAUUAAUAAUAACUUAAAUUAAAGAAAAAAUAAUGAUUUUUAAUUUGAAAAUGUUAGAAUAAAUUACCUUAGGGAUAACAGCGUUAUAUUUUUUUAUAGGUCAUAUAGAAAAAAAUGAUUGCGACCUCGAUGUUGAAUUAAGAUAAAUUUUAAAUGCAGGAGUUUAAUAAUUAAGUCUGUUCGACUUUUAAAAUCUUACAUGAUUUGAGUUCAAAUCGACGUAAGU